AUCUGUCAGACAUAGCAACAGUGCUAGAGAAUUCUUUCCAAGGAAGCUCUUCAUGAGACUCCUGUAUGGGACAGGGCCCAGGGCUUCAGGGAGAACUGCAGAGUAAAACACCUGUAGAGGCAAAUUCAAAUCUAAACUACAAGAUCCAUCACCUAGAUGUUACAUCAAAGGAAGAAAGGGUCCAGCAAAUAGCAAAUUGAGAACUUUGUUCUUCUUCAGCAUGUAGAUGAAGGAGAGAGAUGAGAAUGAUUUGUCUUGCCAAAGCUUCACAAACAAGUGAAUGUCACAGGUGUGGGCUUAGCUCAAGAGCUCCUGAACUCCUCAUGUCUUGUGGACAGCCUCAUGCUCUGCUGCAUGCUGGCAGGCACUGACUGGGCUGAUCUGUUGGCUCACCCCGGGGCUACAAGCACACCAACUAGUCUCCUUGCAAGGGGACAGGCACUCAAGAGAAGGUCUUUCAGUACUGAGGACUUUUGCAAUCAGGAAACCACACUUUUGUCCUUCAGGAAUCCUUCACUGAUUUUCUUCACUGAUUUUGAAUUUGUUUUGCAAAAUCAACAUGCCUUUUUUUUUAUUAUUCUUUGUUGAUCCAAAGCAUGGCUUUACCUCCAUCAAGCAGGUUUUCUUUAAAGUAUCAUUAUAUGAAUUCUAAAGUUUAUUUCUUCUUCCUCAUCUUGUGGAGGACAAAGAGACAGAGAAGGGAACUGUGAAAUAAUCAGGAGAAGAUAAAUAACAUUCUACUUUUGAAGUGAGUAUUUUUACAAAAGUGCCUUUGCUCUCUUCUGUCAAUGUAAAGAGGACCAAAACUUUAAUUUACUUCCCUUUUCACCAUCAAAAUGGAGCUGUGAAGGCCUGGUAUAGUGAAGAGUUAGGCUUUCCAAGUAUGCAAAAUCAAUACAUUGGGAAGAUUUAUGACUGUAGAAGAGGAGAAAGAGAUGUGUGUUGGUCAUUGUUACAAAGAUGAAUAUUACAUAUUUUGACUUAUUCUAAUUUAAUGAACCCCAGAAAGCACUUUUAGUGUUUACUUUUUCCUCAUUUGAUUCUAAUUAACCUUUCCCAUGAUUCAGAUGUCUGACAAAUGUGGAGGGCUGCAGGGCUAAGUGCUUUUUUCCCAUGAUUGACUUUAAUUAAGCAUGCUCCAGGCUUGAAACCCCUGUAAACUUAAAGAACUUUAUUUUAAUUGCCUUCUGCCACAUUUACUUAUGCUAGACAAAUAAUAUAAAUCAAAUAUCAGUGCUAUUAGAUGAACGAAGAACUGACUUACAAAAUAGUAGUCUGCCACGGAAAAACAUAUUACACUCUAAAUCUGAAUAGAAAGUACUAUGGUGGGAGAAAGAUGACAGAUUUCAUAAAGGAAACUUCUGGAACUUUAAUAGCUUUUCAUUUUCUGCACAGUAGGUAUGUUAAGAAACCAAGUUCCAAACUACUGUUAUUCUUCUCCAGUUUCAGUGUUAAUAGGUUAUAUUCAUUAAAACAUGAAAUUUUUAACUGAAUACAUUAAGAACUUAUUUCAGGCUUUCAACUGUUCAACAGCUCUCUGUUGCAGCUGUUGGAAUGAGGCAGUUCAAUCUUAAUUAGGAGACCUUGUCACCUAAAUUGCAUGAGUUUUCUGCUCCCUGAGCUUAUCCCAAGAAAAUCAGACAAAGAGUUAGGCACCAGUACUUGUACAAAUACUGAUGUUAUUGUUCAAAACACUGCAAACAAAAUAGUGCUCCAGCAGAUAUUUGGAGAAAUAAAUCAAAAAUCAUCCAUAUUUUUUAGUCAAUAUGAAGAUUUUAUCCAAAUAAAUGUUUGUUUGUUCUUCUACUGAUUGAUAGAGUUUUAAUAUAAAAUUCCAACUGGCUUACAGGUGAAGAAUAUUCUUACUAUGAAAAUGAAUAACAAAUCUUAUUUUCACUCUGCAUUCCAUUGGGAUGAUCUGAACUGAGUGUUUUAGAGAGGAAUCUUGAGUUGCAGAGAGUAAUCGUGAGUCACACAAAGGCACUGUACUGCACAUUUUUGCUCCUUUAAAAUCAUGCUGUAGGUUCUGAAGGAUCAGCUAAGUUAUAUUUACCGAAUUAGGCUUCUCCUCUUUACUCUUCACUCUUGACAGGAGUAGUGUGGAUGACUCCCUGAGAAAACCUUUUGCACUUGCUGUGGCUGAAACUGCUUACCAUUAAUA